GAUGAACGCUGGCGGCGUGCCUAAUACAUGCAAGUCGAGCGAACAGAUAAGGAGCUUGCUCCUUUGACGUUAGCGGCGGACGGGUGAGUAACACGUGGGUAACCUACCUAUAAGACUGGAAUAACUCCGGGAAACCGGGGCUAAUGCCGGAUAACAUUUAGAACCGCAUGGUUCUAAAGUGAAAGAUGGUUUUGCUAUCACUUAUAGAUGGACCCGCGCCGUAUUAGCUAGUUGGUAAGGUAACGGCUUACCAAGGCAACGAUACGUAGCCGACCUGAGAGGGUGAUCGGCCACACUGGAACUGAGACACGAUCCAGACUCCUACGGGAGGCAGCAGUAGGGAAUCUUCCGCAAUGGGCGAAAGCCUGACGGAGCAACGCCGCGUGAGUGAUGAAGGUCUUCGGAUCGUAAAACUCUGUUAUUAGGGAAGAACAAAUGUGUAAGUAACUGUGCACGUCUUGACGGUACCUAAUCAGAAAGCCACGGCUAACUACGUG
rnacentral:rRNA from 1 species